GCACUGACAGACGACAGUGACAGCAUGGCCCAUUCCAUCGUCUGCACUGACAAUCCUGGCAGCAUCCUCUCAACUCUGACAUCCACGGAUAAACAGGAUCCCUUUGCAUUGCUUCGGGAAGUCUCAGGGAAUUGUGGGCGCUUGCAGGAACAUAUUGGUCAAAUGGACGAGGAAACCCAAACGGUCACAAGCCGCUAUCAGCAGAUGGAGGAUCUGAUAGAAGAAAUCAGAGGUUGCUGUGAAAACAUUGAGAAGUCCAGGGAAAAGCUGCAGCAAUGCAUGGGAAUCCCAGAGCCAGGAGCCUUGUGGCUGCGUCAAAGGAACACCGAGCAGCAGAAGGAAACGUCACCCCAGGUGGAAAAGGCCCAGCAGCAGGACAGGAUGGAGGUUUCCCAGGAGCAAGAGUCAUCGAGCAGGGCUCUGGAGCAGCUGCACCAGCAAUCCUCUGGCCAAGGGCAACCACUGGCCCAGGUGCACAGAGAGAAGGAGCUGCUGGGCCAGGAGAAGGCUGCCCUUAAGGGACGACUGACAGCUAUGGAGCAGCAGCGACAAGAGCUAGCAAGCAGAUGGCAGAGACCAGGUCAGCAAAGGAGAGCCUGGAAUCCAGCCUGUCUGCUGCUCAGCAGCAGAUAUCUCAGCUGGAGAUGA
rnacentral:lncRNA from 1 species